AUUGAACGCUGGCGGCAUGCUUUACACAUGCAAGUCGAACGGCAGCGCGGGCUUCGGCCUGGCGGCGAGUGGCGAACGGGUGAGUAAUACAUCGGAACGUGCCCAGUAGUGGGGGAUAGCUCGGCGAAAGCCGGAUUAAUACCGCAUACGACCUGAGGGUGAAAGCGGGGGAUCUUAGGACCUCGCGCUAUUGGAGCGGCCGAUGGCAGAUUAGCUAGUUGGUGGGGUAAAGGCCUACCAAGGCGACGAUCUGUAGCUGGUCUGAGAGGACGACCAGCCACACUGGGACUGAGACACGGCCCAGACUCCUACGGGAGGCAGCAGUGGGGAAUUUUGGACAAUGGGCGAAAGCCUGAUCCAGCAAUGCCGCGUGUGUGAUGAAGGCCUUCGGGUUGUAAAGCACUUUUGGCGGGAACGAAAAGGACUGUGCCAAUACCACGGUUCGAUGACGGUACCCGCAGAAUAAGCACCGGCUAACUACGUG
rnacentral:rRNA from 1 species